AUUUUGUGCAAGUUGGUGUGAACAGAGAUGCAAGUAUCUGGUUGAACGGGAACUUUGAUCACAGCAGGGAAGGCAUCAUUUUACCAGAUUUCUGCCUUACCUGAUGGAUUUGGCUUCGGGUCAGCAGAAGAGACACAGCCCAGCACCAACAAGGAGUCAAGGGUGACCUCUUCAUCCUCCUAACCACUUGCACUCCCGCCUGCU
rnacentral:lncRNA from 1 species